rnacentral:lncRNA from 1 species
UUUGAUUCUAUAAUAGUGGGUCUAUGAGUCUGUGAUUCUAUAUUUGCUCUGAAGAGUUUGCUGUCAGUUUUUCUGAUGAGCUUUCAGGCAUUGCCAAUCAACUCUCAGUCCCUUAUAAUACGGUGAUUAAGUAACAAAUUUCUUACGUAAGGCUGGAGAGAAGAGUGUAACACGAAGGCUCCUCCUGCCAAAAGCAUCUGAACCUCCACAAGAGGGCUCCGUGGCCAUGGGUAUGCUCUGUGGCUGUGCUCCUGCUCAGAUAAAGGCUCCGCAGUGAGGGAAUCAGAAAUACACGAGAGCUCGCAAACAGCCCUAUCCCUGUUCAGCUAGUUCAGAGCAUCCCUUGUGGAAAAGGAGGCAGAUAAGAUCUGAUUUUUUAGAUAGAAAUUAAGGAAGCAUACUUCACAUCAGUUGUAAUUACCACUGCAAGUAAUGUCCCACACAUUUAUUGUUUCCAUUCAGAGGUGUCUUUAAAAAUGGACAAAACCCUGAUGUGAAUAAGAAAAUAAACUGCAGGAAAUCCAUUGAAAAGGUACUGCAGCCAAACAGAUGGUUGCAUUUGAUGCCUUGAGGCCUAUUCUGCACUGACUCAACUGGUUAUGAUGUGCAGUUCUACUGGAAUGAAGCUGCUGACCAUCAGGAGGGUUUUGAAGACAAGUACCAAGGAAGGAGUUGUGUUCCUGAGCAGAACUUUGCACGAGGACUCCAUUAUAUGUUUUGGUUCGUUAUCUCCUGACAUAACAGUUCUGUUGGCCCAGGAUGUGGUUUAUCUUAUCACAUAGAGAUGAUACCCUGUCAAGAUAUGCUCCAGUUUCUGGGAACAAUUGUUCUAUUGUGCUUGGAGAAUGCCUGGGACAACAUGCUAUUGCCCACUGGCAGAGCCUUACAGGGUCUGAUGGCACAAAGCAACCAUGAAUAAAUGGACAGUGGGACCAAAAUGCAAAGGAAAAUUGAUGGAACCACCUCAGAGGAGCUUAUUGCUGAAAACUGUUCUCAGUAAAUUGUUGAAAGAUUACUGAAACUGAAAACAAGAGUCCCCACAUGAUUAUUUGUGCAAUAGCCAGCAUAACAGGACAUGAACAUGGAUCUGAAACUCUGAAAAUCAGAGGGUUAAGGCUGUUCACACCACUAUUAAACCGAGGUCUGGAGAUACCCAGCAUAUUGAAUCCAAGC